ensembl:lncRNA
CAUCAGCAGGUGUUGGGUGAUGCUGGGGACCCGUGUCAGGCGCAUUAGACCCCUAGUGAGUUUUGCUCAUGCAGAAUCCAAAACUCUGUAUUCCAACACGUGUUUUCUGAGCAUCUACUUGCACUCUGACCUCACACUAGGAAUCUUGGAAGGUAGAAAACCAGGACGCCUCAGUCCCUGCUUCUUCAGAGCUGCGGUACGAGUACAUACCACCUACACUGAGAGUCAGGCAGUGCCAUGGCUGGCCCCCAAGAAGUCCCCCAAUGGGCCAAUAACCCCCUCACCUGGCAUUCACCACUGUGUGCGAUGUCUCCUCCCGACAGCUCCAGGUUGGCGUGUGAGACCGCAGUGCACAACACACUACUCCAAAGUGAGGUUGUACAAACGGCCACUUCUGUCUGGGGCAUUUUGCCUUCUGGCUGCCUCUCCUUGGGGUUCAGCUGUCAUAGGAAGAAGUCUAGGUGUUGCUGCUGGAGAGGCCACCUGGAGAAGAAAGACCCAGGAGGGUGAGAGGCUGCCUGGAGGGGAAUGGAAGCACAACUCCACCUGCCAGCCCUUUGAGCCAGCCUUCUUCCCAGCAGGAGAAGACACGCUGGCUCUACAUUUGCCGAAAUCUUCACCAGGCUUUAGCCCCUGGCUGACUUGGGUUUGACUUUCCACCUCUCUCCAACCACUCCUGGGAAGCUGCUGUGGCUGGAAUCACCACUGUCCCCAGGUGACCGCCUCCGCCCUGUGCUCCAGGACGUGCCACCUGGCUCAACCUCAGCAGACCCCCUGUCCCUCUUGUUCUUCCUCCUCCUAUCCCAGAACUGGUCUCUUUUCUCUCCACAUUCAGAUAAUUUCAGACAGCCUCAGGUGAAGGUGAUCAAAGUGGCAUGCUCAUUCUGUGGGAUUAUUUCAGAGGAAAUGAAAACAAUGGUGGUUGGAUUCUGGCAGUUUCAAUGAUCUCCCGAUCAGGAAGCAACUGGCUGUCAGCGCUUGCCUUUGUUUUCCUCAUGACCACUCACAGCAAUGCAAUCCAGCACUUGUCCUUUCUGCACCUGGUGACAGGUGCCUGGGUAACGGGGGCCCCGCCUUAGCCUUGCUAAGGCCCAACGCAGGGGGCUUGGUGCCUCCCGGUCUGACCUCAUCUGUUUGUCCAGCUUGCACAUGGUUCCCAGUACCCCCUGCUCAGCCCUCCCUGCUCUGUUACUUCCCCUCUUCCCCCCACUCCCAGGAGCUUCUGAUCCUCUUUGGUUCCAAAUCAUUUUUUCCUUCCCCAAAUGGAUGGCUCCUUGCAAUACACUGACUAUAGCUGUUUCAUCAGAUACGAAGCUCCUCCCAUUCUUCAAGGAAAGUUCUGCAGUUGGUGCUGAUGUCAUGGAUGUGCCAACUAGUCUCAAUAUCAACGUCCUCACCUUUUUUCAGGGGUCUUACUGCUUCUGGUGACAUCCCUUUCUUAUGCCCUGGUUCUGUGUUAGGACAGUUUCAAGCAGAGCAAUUCUGUUAUCUGUUCCCUUCCCUCCGUCCCUGUUCUCCUCCUCCCUUCUCUUUCUCUCCUCCUCCUUGGUGUUAAUGAGAGCUCCCCGCCCUUCCUCCCCUCUCUCCCUCUCUUCCGCUGUCUCCCUCCCUCCCUUCCUCUCUCUCUGUCUCCCUCUUUCCCUCUCUCUCCCUCUCGCUCCUUCCCUUCUUCCAUUUCUGUGUUUCUCUCUCCCCACCUUUCUGUCUUUCUUCCUCACUUCCUCCCUCCCUUUCCUUCUCUCUCUCUCUCUCUCUCCGCCCCCCCCGCCCCCAUCUGCGUUAAUAAGAGCUGGAAGCCAACAUAUGGAAGCAUGACAUUAUGAGUGUCCACCCUCAGGCGCAGAGCAGGAGGCUGUCCCCCAUCCCUACCAGCCCCAGAAGGGGCAGCUUUCCCCACACUGUGAAAACCUGCAGAACAAGCCUGGAUUGUCUGAGGCUUCCACAGUACUCCGUCAGGACCUGCUGAAAAUCUGGUUACUUAUAAAGCAAUUUGCUCCUGCGGGCUGGUUUGAGAUUAAAAUGGCAAUUAUCUUGCAAAUGACUGUAACUGUCUUUCAUAACUGUGGCGAUGUUUGAGAUGUGACUGACUGCCGUCUGCAGGAUAAUGGGCUUAAUAAACGGUAUCUUCAGUGUAUUGUCAGGGAACAGAACCUAUUAGUUGGGGAUGGGACAAUACUGUAAUUUCAGCUAGAUCGAGUCCAUCCUUCUCCCCAGCCAUGGUCCCCCACCCCCCUUCAGUGGCACGUGCUCAUCAUUGCUCAUCAUUUUUUUCUUAAUAGGACAUUUUUCCUUAGGAUAAUUUGCAAAUUGCUAAUCUGUUACCACCUCUCAUUUCUUUCCUCCUUAAAGUUUUACUUUCCUUGGUUGCCUGGCAGAAAUGCAAGAGAAUAACCCUGUUUGCUGCCAAUAGGCAGGGGUCGUAGUAACAGCCCACAGCAGAGGCACAGCCUGAGAGCCUCAGUGUAGACCGGAGCCACAGUGUAGACCGGAUCCACCGUGUAGACCGGAGCCACACUCAGGGAAUCAGGUAGGAGAGACUGAAGACCCUCAUUUCUCUUUCCUCUCAGGAGAAUAAGAGUUUUAACCAACUGUUUUGCUUCGUGCUGGAGCCAAAGAUUCCUUCCACACACAAUGCUGGGGAGGGAGGUCCAGGGGACUUAGGGCUCCGGUGAUCUGGUCCUCGGCCUGAAGAGGAAUCUGGGAAAGGCUUGGGGUCUCAGGCCCCUCCCCAGGGAGGUGGGAGCUUCCGACAGAGCAGGACCCAGGGACUGGUGCCCUCAGGUUGGGACUGGGAAAGGUGGGUGGGUUACCGGGAUCAGGGCUUGGGGCUCUGUUUUCUAGGCUUGGCCUUAGUUCAGCCAGCACCUCCAGAAGCUGUCGAGACAAGGAAGGGCCUGAAAUACCUUGACAUGUGGCUGUCAUUCCAAUGACCUCAACGUCUAGAUGGCAGGUGACUGGUUUUCACUCAGCUGCGUCUCCCUCAGUCCUCAUCUGUUAAAGGGGACAAGGACACGUGGGCCCAGCAGGCUGAGCAUCUUAUCCAGCAGGGACCAGCCAGCUCACCAGCACCAAGUGGGGGUCCGCUGCCUCUGCCUGCUCUCUCAGCCAUGUGUUCACACUGCACGAACCUGAGAUCCCGGAGAGACAGUCUGAGCUGGGGCGGAUGGGUGCGUGUCCUGUGACCAGAGGCAGCCAUUGGUAUGUUCCCUGAAUUUAGUGUGUGACCAUGGAGGAGAGUGCAAGGGAAAUUUGGAAUAUGCUAGAACCAGGAUGGGAGAGGGAAAUAGAGAAAGCACCAGUAAACCCAGUGGGAGGGCAGGGGUCCAGGGUCUGCUUAGAAUCCUCAAAAGUUGAGCAUGGAGUGACCGGACAAUCCAGCAAUUCUACUUUUGAGAACCACCUGUAAGAAUGGAAAGUAGGGACUCAGAUACAUGUCAGCCCACAUUCACAGCAGCACCACUCAGAACAGCCCGGAGGUGGAAGCAACCCAACUGUCCAUAAAUGGCUGGAUGGAGAAGCAAAAUGUGGUCUCUCCGUAGCAUAAAAUAGAGUGCUAUUCAGUCACAGAACGAAUGAAGUGCUAACACCUGUUAAAACAUGGACAAACCUUGAAAAGCUGCUGCUAACUGAAAGCGGUCAAACGGAAAUGUUCACAUGCUGCAUGAUUUCACCUACAUGACCCAUGCAGAAUAGGUAAAGCCACAGAGGCAAAAGCAGGUUGGUGGUCAUAGGGGCUGGGAGUUGGGAGUGACUGCUUAGUGGGGGCACGGUUUCCUUUUGGGAUGACACUGACAUUGUUGUACAAGACAGAGUUGGCUGGGUAUGGUGGCUCAUGACUGUAAUCCCAGCACUUUGGGAGGCCAAGGUGGGCGGAUCACCUGAGGUCAGGAGUUCGAGACCAGCCGGGCCAACAUGGUGAGAUCCUGUCUCUACUAAAAAUACAAAAAUUAGUUGGGCUUGGUGGAACAUGACUGUAAUCCCAGCUACUUGGGAGGCUGAGGCAAGAGAAUUGCUUGAACCCAGGAGGUGGGGUUUGCAGUGGGCCAAGAUUGUGUCUUUGCACUCCACACUCCAGCCUGGGUGACAGAGAGAGAUUCUGUCUCAAAAAAGGAAGAAGAUGAUGACAGAGUUGAUGGUAAUGUAACACAAAGAAUGUACAACAUGCCAGCAAAUCAUGUUUUAAAAUGGUUCAUUGUACAUCAUUGUACAUCUUAUUUGAGGAGUGUCUGUUCAUGUCUUUUGCCCACUUUUUAAUGAGAUUAUUUGUCUUUCGCGUGUUGAUUUGUUUACGUUCCUUAUAGACUCUGGAUACUAGGCUUUUGCCUGAAAGCGUGGAGGGAAGGAGAGGGGAAGUGCUGAAAAACCAGCUCCCUCCCUGGGUGAUGGGAUCCAUCGUACCUCAAACCUCAGCACCACACAAUAUACCCAUCUAACAAAUCUGCACGUGUACCCCCAAAUCUAAAAUAAAGGCUGA